GCUGAGGUCUAUCCCGACAUGCCUUUUUCUGUAGGGUUGUGUCGUUGGAAAUGCCUCGGAGAGUAAAUCUGGAGUUUAGCUUUACCCACAUGUUCACUCAUGAACCUUGUGGGAUAUUACUGCAGAACACAU